rnacentral:rRNA from 1 species
AGUGAACGCUGGCGGUAGGCCUAACACAUGCAGGUCGAACGGCAGCACAGUAAGAGCUUGCUCUUACGGUGGCGAGUGGCGGACGGGUGAGGAAUACAUCGGAAUCUACUUUUUCGUGGGGGAUAACGUAGGGAAACUUACGCUAAUACCGCAUACGACCUACGGGUGAAAGCAGGGGAUCUUCGGACCUUGCGCGAUUGAAUGAGCCGAUGUCGGAUUAGCUAGUUGGCGGGGUAAAGGCCCACCAAGGCGACGAUCCGUAGCUGGUCUGAGAGGAUGAUCAGCCACACUGGAACUGAGACACGGUCCAGACUCCUACGGGAGGCAGCAGUGGGGAAUAUUGGACAAUGGGCGCAAGCCUGAUCCAGCCAUACCGCGUGGGUGAAGAAGGCCUUCGGGUUGUAAAGCCCUUUUGUUGGGAAAGAAAAGCAGCAGGUUAAUACCCCGCUGUUCUGACGGUACCCAAAGAAUAAGCACCGGCUAACUUCGUG